CCGCCGUCGCCGGAGACCGGCGCUUGAGGGUGGGGAGAAGACGGGGGGAGGGGGGUGACGCUGGCCGGUGAGGCUCCUUCCCGACACGGCGGCGAUGUCCGCGAGCCCGGAGCGUGCCGCGGCGGCAGCGGCGGGGCCUCAUGCGCAGCGCGGCACCCUGGCCUUCGGCCUCCCUCCGGCUCCCGUAGAGCGGGCCGGUGGCAAGAGCAGUAGCUGCCGAGGCCGUGGAGUCUCUGGCUUGUCUUCCUCCUUUUCUUCCUCCUUCCCCUUGGCCGUCGGGUACUGAGCCGGGGGAGGGGAGGCGGCCUGAGUGGCCGGGGCGGGGGCUGCUGCUUUGAGGAUGGGAAUUCUCUUCACCAGGAUAUGGAGACUGUUCAAUCACCAGGAGCACAAAGUUAUCAUUGUUGGUCUGGAUAAUGCAGGGAAAACCACCAUUCUUUACCAAUUUUUGUCAUUGUUGUUGUGGACAGUACAGACCGAGAGAGGAUUUCUGUAACUAGAGAAGAACUCUAUAAAAUGUUAGCACAUGAAGAUCUAAGGAAAGCUGGAUUGCUGAUUUUUGCUAACAAACAAGAUGUUAAAGAAUGCAUGACUGUAGCUGAAAUUUCCCAGUUUUUGAAGUUAACUUCAAUUAAAGAUCACCAGUGGCAUAUCCAGGCAUGCUGUGCUCUCACUGGUGAGGGAUUGUGCCAAGGACUUGAAUGGAUGAUGUCACGACUUAAGAUUAGAUGAUCUCUACUGACCUCUGUUUGUAGACUUUGCAUAAAUGAAGUGCUGGACUAUAAUUAACCUGAAAGCUGCAAAAAUUAAUGGGUUAGAUAUAUUUAUAAUAAACUGACAAAACUUUUUCUAUAAGAAACAAAUUAAGACCACUUCUUUGAAAAGAAAGAUGGAGUCCCACGUUCCAGUUUGCUUUCAUAUAAAUUUCUUCUGAAGUUAGGUCUUAAAGCUGUGAUUGACAUUUCUGUCAUGAUGAAUCCUCUCAGGACAUUGUGUAGUCUGUGGUAAGUAUAAAGGGAGAGGAAGACAUUUUUAACUACAAGAGCUUUAUUAUCAGUAUAACCCUCCCUAAAUUGAAUGUUGUCUUUUCGUUUGAUUAAGUCAAAAAAACAAAUCAAUGGCACAAGUAUUCAAUUUCCACUAUUUUUAAAAUGUAAUGUUACAUAUGAGAAAGAUGUUUUGCAUCAGUUUGUAUAUGUAUUGUGUGUAUACUUCCAAUUUAGGUUAAUGGCUUUGAUUUAUAUACUAGAGAAAGGUAAAUAAUAUACCUAACCUAAAUGAAUAAUAUAGUUACUUAUACCUAAAAUGAAACCAGUACAUAGAUGUUGACAUGUCACUUAUACUUUGUCUUCAUGUUCUCUGUAUUGUAUUAACCUACCCAGAAAAAUUUUGCACUGCUUCUUUAAAAAAAGAAAAGAAAGCUGAAAGUGUCUAAAUUUAGGGUUUUGGAGUGGAAGGGGGGUCAGAUGAUUUCCUAAACACACACAAAAAGAUAUGGUACACUGGAGUGGAAUUCUUAUGUAGUAGUUGAUUUAAUAUUACCAACUGCCACUAAUUUAUUUCCAGAAUGUUCUUUUAUUAUUUUUUUUAAAAGGACUUAUUGCCUAUUUAAGUAAGUAAUCUUAUACUUUAAAUUAUGAGAAUAUAAUUUAGGAAGUGAAUUUUCAGAGCCAAUUAUGAGGGAAAAAAAUGAGAAAUACGUCUAUCAAAUGGUGUGACCCUUCAAAAAUUCUGAAGUAUUGGGUUUUAAUUAGAAUCACUGUACAUACCUUAAAUUAUAUGACAACUAUUAAAUAAAUUUGACAUCUUCAAGAGUAAAGCAUACUAUCCUAGUCACUGAAAUGUGGAGGUUCUGCCAUUGGUUUGUAAUGGUCUGCUAUGGAAGGCAAGAAGUUGUUUUUACUUUUUUUAAGUUUUAAAACAUCAGUAUUUUGAGAACAGUUAAAAUUAUAACUAAGAGAUUUAUUCCCACUUAAUAUAUUGCUUAAUAACUAGGUAACUAGUUCUGAAUUUUUCUGAAUGUUUAUUAUGAUUUCAAAAUGGUUUUGCAUGGUGACUUUUGAAGUAAUCUAUAUUAAACUUUAUUGCCAUUUAUAAUACUGUUGCUCAGAGUGCUAUAAAUGUUGAAUUGAUAUUUUUAAAAAGAUUUGUUAAAAGUCAAAACAUAAGCCUCUGACAUAACCAUGAACAACUAUUAUACUAAUAUUAUUAUUAUUUAAAAAUCCCUGCAUAUUAUAUUGGUUUAACUUUAAAAUCCCAACUAUUUCAAAACAAUAUAAUCCAAAUUGUACAAGAAAUAAUUUUAAAACAAUGUGAAUCUUUUCAAAAUUAAUGGAAUUAUAGGGAGAAAUAAAUGUACAUAUCAUAAAUAGUAAUACGGAUUUAAAGAUCAUUACUACCAAAAUAUGUUAUAAAAAUAAUAAAAUUUUAACUAAGCCAGAAGCAUGUGGUUUGGUAGAUCACUUCAGUGUUUAACAUUAAGAACAUUGUGUUUUAUGUUUUUAUAACCAUUAUACAUUUUCAGGCUUAAAAUGGCAGCAUGACAGUUUUAAUUAUAUAAAGGUCAAUAUGCUUUUGAAGAUGGGCUAUCGAUUAUAGACCUUUAUUGAGUCAAGCUUAAUUGAUUCUCAAACUCUAGAUACUUUCAAACUUUUUCCCGUCAUCUGUAAGGAAAAAGAAGUUAUAGUUAUUUAUCUAAUGCAGAUGGUAUUUUAGACCAAAUUUUCGGAAAUUGUAGCUGAGAGUUUUUUUAAAGUAGGGCCACACAGCAUCUUUCUAGUUCUUUCUUUGACUUUUUUUUUUUUAUUUUGGUCCCUCUAAUGGCUUCCUCCAAGUCAUAUUGAUGACAGUAUACUCUCUUCCUAAUGUUUUAUUUUCCAAAUUUAUUGUAUAUUGUUAAAUACACAAUUUAAAUAAAAAUAUAUUUUAAAUAUACUUGGUCUUACCAAGUUGGAAAAGUUUUGUGUUGUGCUCAGUGAUGAAGUAUAUUUUUAUUGCUUGAGGACUAGUCUAGCUAAAUUUGGAGAGAUUUUUUUCAACCACAGGAACUCUAGAAGAAAAACUGUAAUCCACAUCAGGGAAGGAAUCCAUAUUGAUGAAAUCAUGAAAGUUUAAAAGAAGGAUAUUUUAAAUUAGAUUUUAAAACCAUGUAUCAAAGCGGUAGUUUGAAUAGUUUCCCCAGGCUGCUGUUAGAGUGACAUGAGAACACAAUAGGAUGUGUUGCACUUAGAAAAGAAAUUUUUUUCCUUUGAAACGCAUGAAAGUUCUUGUGGUUGUGCAGGUUUGUUAGGAGGAAAAGUUUUCAGACUCACUGGUGAAGAUUGAAAGUUCAUCUUUAUAGUCCUUCAGUUUGAAGUAGUUCAUUUUAAUUCUCAGAAAAAAUGAAGGCUCACAGAUAUUGAUAGUGAUUAUUCAUCAUUCUUUUUACAUUAGGUGGGUUAAAGCAAGUUAUGUUUUUGUUUAUUAUGCAACUUUUUUAAAAAUGAAAAACAAUCUUAAUUUAGGAGACAUGACUUUUCUCUGAAAAGGAGCAUUGCAUUUUCCUGGUCUUUAUAAAAUAAGCAUAAAAUAAAUGAAGUCUAAGAGAAAGUUAUUUACUUUAAUGGAAUUCUUAACUAUAGCAUUGUGUGCUAUUUACUUCUGCACAUUAUGAACAAUUUCAUUUAUACAAAAACCAAAAAUAUUUCAAAAAUAACUUUCACUCUGUAACUUCCCCAAAGAAUUAAUGGUUUCAUUUUAAAACUUAAGAUUCUAUUGAUUAAAACUUAGUCUUUCCUGUUAAAUCUUAAUUUAACAGAAUUAAGCUACAGCAACACAUAUUGGAUAAAGAGGUGGGCUUCAGAGGGUCAUACUAUCAAUAUAUGUCAGAUUUGAAUUUAGAGCUUCCUGAUUCUAAAACUAUAAAUUUCAGAAGAGUUGCUGUCAGCAUUGGCAGGGGGGAUUUCCAAUACUAGGAAUUUUCUACCAAUUAAAUCACAGUUCCAGACUCAAAAAGUCCAAACUUGAAAUGUCAUGCAAUAUAUAUAAUAUAUAUGAUCAAAGGAUUAAGUCCCAUAAUGUAUUGAAAGCUUGUAAUGUUUUUGGGAGACAGUAUUCACAGUUUGUGUUCAAGAAGUGCCUAAAAUUAAUUUGCAAUGACUAUUAAGUUCAUCUAAUAAAUGUCUGUCUUACAUAGUAUUGUAUAUAUUAUAUAACUCCCAGUUUUUUUAAAGUAAUUAUCUCCUUUACUAAAAGAGGACUACAAAAACUUUUGAGAUAAAGGAGUCCGGUGGAGCCUAUAACAGAAUUAGCCAUGUUAGGUAUGUAGUUAACUGAUAAUUGUCCUAAUGAGAUCUGAUCUUUAGUAAUUGAAUUCUUAUAUUUAAAUAGCUUUAAGUCUACAGUAAUUUCACCAUAGCUGAUUCCCCAUUAUGUGAAUUUUUUUUUUGAAACGUAUUUGAAGAUGUGGCUAUUCUCAGUAUUUGGUAAUCUUCAUUGAACUUUAUGCAUUUUUUGAGCCUUUUUUUUUUUAAAUGCUAAUACCCCGUUUCCCUUUCUUUAAAAGUUUACUUGGAAAUCUAAGUUCUUUGAUAGAUUGGGCUUAUUGUCCAUGUCAUUUGAACAAAUGCUGUAUUUAUUGAUCUUAAUGUAUAACUACAGACUAUAAAUAGAAUUACUUUGCCAUAUUUUUAUCAGUUUAUAUUUCAGGUUCUUUAAAAUAGAAUGCAGUUUGAUGAAAUCUCUGUUUAUCUUAUUGAAAUUUGUAUUUCCUCUGUUUAUUCUUUUCUUCCCCACACCUCCAAGGUGGUUCUAUUUUUUCCCCACUUUAAAUCCACAGCCUUACUUGGCCCAGUUUCUUAUAUAGGUUAAUAAGUUCAUAAUACUUCUUAUAAAAUAACAAUAUUUCAUUUAUUAAGCACGUGAUAGUUUUUUAAAAAUGCUUUCCUCAUAAAACCCUCUGAGAUCAAUCGUGAAAGUAUUCCCUUUUUGCAAGAUUAAAGAACCAGUUUAUUAAUUGUCACAGUAAUGUCAGGGACAGUAUUUGAACUCUGGUAUCUAGCACUCGUGCUAUGGCAUCCGGCCUUCUGUACUUCUAUCAUUCCCAUAUACACUGGGGCUUCAUACUGCAACACACCUCUUAAAGGCAUUUACUAGACCAAGCUUAUAGGUUUUUUUGGUUACUAAACUAGAGGAAAGUGCACAAUGACUAGUGUUGUGCUUUCUUGUUGGUUAAAGUUCAUAAUUUACUCUUUUGGUUAAUUCAUUCGUUUUUACCCAGUCUGUACUUCAUUGUUGUUUGUAACAUUUUCCUAUCACAGACCCAUCUAAGUAAUGAUACAGUUUUAACAUCUGGGAGUUUUUUGUAAUAGUAUUUAACCUGUAUUACAAAGAUUGGUUUUUGUUUUUUUGGGGAUUGUGGGUUUUUGUUUUUUAGUAUACAGUAUUUUUCUGUACACAUAUUGGUAUAACACAUUUAGAAUUCUGAGCAGUGAAAGCUUCACUUGAGUUCUGUUCAAGUUCUGUUCAAGAUUUGGAGAAUUUGGGUGCCUACAUUUUGUUAAACUUGAUUGCUAAUAGCCAAAUAAAUUUUAUAAAAAUAUCUAUAAAGAGAGGAUUCUCCUACCCUAAAUUACUCAUUUUUUCCAUUCGAAUGUAUGACACUAGAAAAUUCUCAAGUGUCUUCAGUAGACAUUAGGAGUUGGAGAGUAGAAGAAAACACUCCUAUGAUAUUGAACUCAUAGAUUCAUUGGUGCUUAGGGAGAUGGACCACUUCAUAAUUGGAAAUUACUAUUAUUUUAUCCAUUAAAAAAAAAAAAGGCUGAAACUGUUUAUAUGUUACAGAGCAUGGAGCUUGCUUAAUUGCAAUAGCUUAUGAGAAUGUUUCACAAGUAAUUAAUAAACCUCAGAAAUGUUCAGGUGUGCAUAUGUAGAGAUGAGAUUUGACUAAUGCAUUCAUUUGUAUGUACAGCUGUGAAACAAAUUACUUUUAAAAAAGUUAUAGGGAAGACAUUGACAUGGAGUAAUUUUCUUUGCCUUAUGUUGUAAAAAAUAAGUAACUAAAAGUUAAAAAAAGUAAAAUUGUUACUAUAUCUGCUGUUUGUUUCAGAUUAUAUCUUCUGUUGUAAGAGGGUUAAUUAUAAUAGCUCCAUUCCUACUGCUGUUAUAUUGUCAGUGUUUUGAUUGUAAUUCAGUACUUGAUAUAUUCUGGAAUAGUUUGUAGUACUUCUUUUAGCUGCUAUAUGACAAAAUGUGUUGUUCUUUUGAAAGUGUGAUGCUUGUUUACAUUAUUACAAAAAAAGGUGGUUUUUAAAAAUCUUCUGAAGAGUCUUUUUAUGAGACAGAAGGCAAACUAAUAUAAAUUCUAAGUAAAAAUUCUCCAUUAUUCUUUUUUCCUACCUCAAAAAGGCCUUAUAGUUUAAAUUUGGAAAUGUUAAUAGAGAAACAUCUAGGCCAUUUGUUCCCGUUGACAUAUAAUCUAAUGACAGCACAUACAAAAUGAGUCUUCUGAGAGUUCAGAUCAGCUACCUUGAAUGCAGGCCAUUUUGACUUUAGAAGGUCAUGUCCCAAAUCAGUGGUAACUUUUCUCUCAAACUCAAAAAGCUCAUUUAAAUGAGGCUUUUUCGUCCAAUGGAAUGAUUUAGAGAUUGCUAAAAUCUCAUCAAGUACUUCCUGACUGGCUUUUUGAAUACCUGAUUCCAAGUGAACACCUUAUCUUUUGUUAAUGGUGUCAUAGGAUCAUAGUCCAACUCCCUCCUUUUACAGAGGAAGAGAGAAACCAAGGUCUAGGCCUUGUCAAAGGGUACACAGAUUAUAAACUACAUAUUUAGGAUUUUAUCUAAAGCCCUCCAACUCCUAAUUCAGUAUUCUUUCCCAUAGUCCAAAUCUAUUGCUCAAUAGCCUAAUGGUUUGUUUGCUUUUCCUUUCUAGCACUGAUUGAUUUCUGAUCCUUCGCCCAACUGCAUAGCUUCCUUAAUUCUGAUUAUUUCUGAUUUUGUCAAAUAAACCUACCUUCUUACUUUUCCUUUCUGUUUCAUUCUUGUAAAAUCCCAAAUGUGUUGUAGUAUCUGCUUAUGAAGCUUCUUUCGCCCCAAAUGAAGAAUUUGAAGUAUCAGAUUAUUCAUUUCAAGCUAGACUAACUUUUGUCUUUUUAUAUACACACCAAUCAGGGUCUUUACCUUUUUUUUUUCUUUUUUAAAAUUAGCUCCUCACUUCCCACCUCUCCACUAAUCCAAAUUCUUUGCUUCUCUUUUAAGCCAUCCUCAAUACCCACUUCUUUCCCUUUUCUGAAUCUCUAGAAUAGUCUAGCAAUAUGUGUAAGUGUCACUAGUAUCAUUCUUUGCUUCUUGUAUACUAUAUACAUACAUACAUAUGCAAGAAUGCAUGUAUGUAUGUGUGUGUAUGUUUAUGAAUACAUAUAUACACAUAUACUUGUGGCUUAUCUCAAUAACUGAAUUGUAGCUUAUUGCACAGGAACUACUAAAAAAACUUGUGAUGCUAUCCCAAUACUAAGUGCUUAAUGUCAGUUUAAGAUAAAUUUUUGUCAUAUUCUUGACUGUCUCUUGUAAUUAAAAUCCUUGUUUGAGUGCAGCUGCUUAAUACCAUUUGAGUAGUGGUGAAAGAUAUGAUUGCAUUGGAACUUUCAGUAAAAAAAACUGCCUCCACCAGAGGAAUAGAGACAUGAAGUGACUUGCUCAGAGUGACACCAAUUAAUAGAAAUGUUGGAGGCAGAUUUGGAACUUAAAUCUUCUAACUCCUAAGUAUUAGUCAAGAAAGACAAAAGUUUUUUUUUUUAAAUUUAUUUAUUUUUAUUUAUUAUAAUAACUUUUUAUUGACAGAACCCAUGCCAGGGUAAUUUUUUACAUUAUCCCUUGCACUCACUUCUGUUCCGAUUUUUCCCCUCCCUCCCGCCACCCCCUCCCCUGGAUGGCAAGCAGUCCUAUAUAUGUUGAAUAUGGAAGACAAAGUCUUAAUAGAAAUUUUCAUCAAAGAGAGUAAAUUAGUUUAAAUAGCAGAUCAGCCAUCAAUUCUAUAGUUUUUUGUUGUUUUGUCAGAUUCUUACUGCUUGUUUUAGGCAAGAUGUAUAGGAUCAUAGGACUAUAGCUAUGAAGAUAAUGAUCUACUAGAUACCAUCUAGUUUAACUUCUUAAUAUAACCCCAAAGAACUGAUUUUUCUGUUGUCCCCCACAUAUUCCAACUGCUAGAACCUUUGCCUCAAAAGUUAAUUUUCAUUUAUCUAUGUGUAUCUAAUAUGUACCUAUUUAUAUCUGCAUGUGUUCUCUUCCAUUAGAAUGUAAGCUCCUUGAGGGAGAGGACUUUUUUUUUUUUUUGAUUAUUCUUUGUAUUCCAUUAUCUAAUCUAUAAUAAGCAUUUAAUGAAAUCUUAUUGACUAAAGUAGAUCUAGUUUCAAAAAUGCUAUCUUUUUCUUCUGCUACAUACUUCAUCUGUCUAUUUUCUGGUUAGUAGUAUCUCAGAAUUAUUGCCAUUGAAAAUUAUCCAAAAUUUUGACAUCCAUAUGUGAAAGGUUUUUAAACUACCAUUAGGUCUAGAAAUUGGUUCUCCUUCUUUGAGGUUUUCUUGUUACUUCUACCACUACUCCCCUCUCAUUACCUCUAACUCCCUAAAGUGUUUCUAGUUAGUAGAACCUGCUAUAAUGAUUUGUUGUUUCCAGAUAACGUAGAGAUAUAGUAAUAUCUGUUAAUAAAGAAACAAAAGAUGGAACUUCUUAAUAUAUCUGACUGGAUAAUAAAAUAUGAAUUAUAAACCAUUCAAAUGAUAAAUUACAAAUGUUAGAAUCCAAUAUUUUGUAGAGAAUUUUAAUUUUGAGUUACAUAUGUUAUCACAAAGAAAUCUUUAUAAGAAGAGAGGUCAUCAUUUUUUGGACAAAAACUAAUUUUGCUUAACUUGCAAAGAUUAUCUGAUUUUUUGAAACUGAAAAUAUUAAAGCCCAAAAUUUGAUCUUGUCUUUCAAUCUUUUUCUUUUUUGGUUGAACAGGAGCAUCUGCCUGUAGACAAUUUUGUUUCAGAAUACAAUAUACAGAUUUCUUUAAAGUGGUAAUUGUAAGAAGAAAAUGUUACUGGGAUCUGAAGACAGCAGUCUAAAGCUAGAGCAGAAUAUAGAGUCCCAAAUUUUUAGUUUCACUUUGUGAGCUUUAUUUUUCCAAGUGCUACAUUUAAUAACAUUCCUCUUAUAAAGCUGUAUACACAUGGUUAAAGCUUGAAAUUUAAUUUGUGAUUUUUGAAUAAAAAGUAUUAGUAUUUUAAAUUUAGGAAGUAUAGUUUUUUAACUAAAAAAAUUUGAGUGGAAAAUAGCUGCUAGCUUUAGUGAAACUAAACUUCUUUCACACCAUCAUUAUUCAUGUUAAGAUAUUCAUUUAGAUUAUAAGCUUUUUACAGAUAGGCACAUUGUUAGUUACUUAAUUUCGUAUUCCUGCUCCAAGUGCAAAUACAAAGGAAUCCAAACAAUCUACCUUUAAAAAGCGAAUGAUGAACUAGGAGGCAAACAGCUAUGAAAUAGAAAGUCUAGGACUAUGGUGGUUGAAGUGGAAUGGAGGAGGAAUAAAUGUAGACAUUUCAAUGGCAGAAUCAACAGAAUUGGUAAUUUCUGCUCUGACCCCCAGCAGAUGAAGACAGUGCCCAAAGGAAAGUUGAAAAUCAAGGGAGCAAGAGGUAUUUCUUCAUGAAGAAGUUCAUAGAAGUCCAAAAGAAGUGUAGUUUAGGAGAGAAGACUUUGCAGGACUUCCUCUUUAAAUGAAGGUUUUGGCGUUAAUGGCCCUGCCUUUUAGGCAGAGGAUAAUGAUAAGAAGUGGUACCAAGGCUAAUUCAAUAUUAAAGGAUGGUGAUAUUUCCCAGUUAUGAGUUUCAUGGGAUGUGGAAGCAUAUAGCAUGUGAACCAAGUUGAAAAUGAUUCAAAGAUUUAAGUAAAGGAGAAUAAUGGCGUCAUUACCAGUACUGGAGGUUUUUAGGAAGAAUGAAGCAGUAUGAGGGAAUAAAAUAGUUUUAUGUUUGAUGUGUGCUAUCUCAGAUUGUGUUUUUGUAGACAAGUCCUCAUUUAUCUUAUUCUUGCUAUGCCUUAACUCCUUAAACCUAUUUAUCCUUGCUAUGAUUUCCAUUUCCUCUAUGCUUUAUUACUUUUCCUUAGCCUGUUAUCCCAGACUUUGCUGCAGUUUGUCUCUUGACCAUUUAGUUAAUUAUUGCAUUUUUACACUAUUUUUGACACUUGAAUUCUGUACUCCUUUGUCCCACUCAUGCCUUGCCAAAACUUGAUCCUGGAUCCUUUCCACCAUUAUUCACUUUCUGAAUUUUUACUUCACUCAUCUGAAAAGACAGCUGAAGGAAAUUACACAAUUUCUGAUUCCUCUACAAUUUAUGUCAUCUUGAUCUCAAUUGGGUCUUUACUGCAACAAGAUGUUCCUAUUUGAUUUUCUAUCACCUUUUUCACAUAGCUAUUGUUUAAAAAUUUUUAAGUCUUCUCAUGCUACUCCUUCCCCUCUCCUGAGAAUUUUGCCUCUUUUACCAAAACUAAAAGCCGUUCUUUCUAAGCUUCUUCAUUUCCCCUCCCCCCUGACAACUUCCUCUCAUUCUCUGCUAUCUUUUCCUUUGCUCGGUCUGUAAUGAAAUGACUACCUACCAAAGCCAACCUUUCUACAUACAUCCUUUAUCCCAUCCUUCUCAUCUUUUCCAAGUUUUCUCCCAACCUUAAAUCUCUUCCUAUUGACUAUGUCUUAGUUGUUGCUUGUAAAUUUAUUUGUCCCUUCAUCCCUAUCCUUCAAAGUCCUUGCCAGCUACUGUCAUUACCUCUAGCAAUAAUCCUAUAGCUUUUUCUCAGCCCAAUUUCUUAAAAAAUUUUGGAACACUUCAAACUUAUAUUCUUCUCCUAUAACUCUUCCAAUCAAAGCUUCUGACUAUCACUAAAAUGGCUUUCUUCAAAUUUAUCAAUGAUUUUUUUAAUCAUAAAAUCUAAUUCUCUUUUUUCAGUGCUCAUCCUUCUUGACAUCUUUGCAAUUUUUGAUACUAUUGAUCACUGCUUGAAUACUCUCUUCUCUUGUGUUUUUCAACAUUUCAACAUUCUGGUUUUCCUCUGCCUGUUUAACUUAUCCCUCAGUUUUUGAUGAUUUAUCAUCUAGGUCAUAUCUGCUUACUUGUGGGUAUAUUUCAAGGCUCUGUGUUAGGCUCUCUUUUUCCCUAUAAUUGAUCAUCCAGUCAUCUCUUGUGAAUUGUUAUCUCUGCUGACACUUUCCAGAUCUAUACUAGAUCUAAUUCCAGCUCUAGUAUAAUACUUUAGAGCAAUUGGAUGUUCAGUGGGCCAGGCCAGGAGUCAGUAAGAUGGAAGACUCAAAUCCAACCUCAUACGCUUACUACCUCUAUAAUCUUGGACAGGGUGUUUUAAGUUCAUUUGCUUCAGCUCUAAUCUACAUUUACAGAUGUAAAAUGAACUAGAGAAGGAAAAGGCAAACCACUUCAAUAUUUUUGCCAAGAAAACCUCAAAUUGCUAAGGGGUAGCUAAGUGCACAGUGGAUAAAGCACCAACUCUAGAGUCGGGAGGACCCGAGUUGAAAUCUGGUGUUGUUUAAUACUUACUAGCUCUGUGACCCUGAGCAAAUCAUUCACCCUGGAUUAGGUCACCAAAAAUAAGAAAAAUUCAAUGGAGGCACAAAGAGUUGAUUGUAACUGAAAUGACUGAAUAGUAAUUAUAUCUGAGUUUUAGUCUUUUAUUACCAACUAUCUAUUGAACAUUUCAAACUGGAUGAGAUGAGACAUCUUAAAUUCAACAUGUACAAGACAGAACUCGCCCCUUUCCCCAUCUUUUCUACAAUCUACUCUUUGGAACUUCCCAAUUACUGUUGAGGAUCCUACCAUUCUUGUAAUCGGUCACCCAGAUUAGCAACUUUGAUGUCAUCCUCAACUCCAGACAUUUAACCACUUAACACACCUUUUUUCUAUCUGCACAGUUUUUCCUGUGUCUCCUCUCUCUAUAUAUGUUUAGGCUUUUAAUCACUUCUGUAAACUAUUGUAAUAUUUCUUUUUUUUUAAGUUUUUAACAUUUUUUUCAUUUAAAAAUAUUCUUUCCCCCUUCAGCUGCUUCCCUACCCACUGAGAAACAAGCAGUAUGCUAUCAAUUAUAUAUAUAACGAUGCAAAACAUUAACCUUAUUGCAAAAAAAAAAAAAAGGAAAAUAAAGUAUGCUUCAAAUUGUGUUCAGAAUUCCAUCAUCUGUUCUCUCUCUGGAAAUGAUUAGCAAUUUUCAUCAUGGAUCCUUAGGAAUUAUUUUGGAUCAUUGUGUUGAUUGGAUUAACUAAGUCUUUCACAGUUAAUCAUUACAAUUUUUCCACUUCUGUGUACAAUGUUCACACCUGGUUCUUGCUUCACUUUGUAUCCAUUCUUAUGAGUUUUCCCCACAUUUUUCUGAAACCAUUCUGCUCAUUUCUUAUAGCAGAAUAGUAUUCCAUCACAAUUAUAUACCAUAACUUGUUCAGCCAUUCCCCAUUUCAUAGGUAUUCUCUCAAUUUCCAAGUCUUUGCCACCACUAUGCAAAAAACCCAUUUUUGUACGUAUAAAUCCUUUUCCUUUUUCUUUGAUCUCUUUGUGAUAUAGGCCUAGUAGUGGUAUGCAAUAGAUUCUUAAUUGUCCCCCCUGCCCCCUCAAAGUUUCUCCCCUCUCCAAUACAUCCUCCAUUUGGCUAAUGAUUUUCCUAAAGUGUAGAUCAAAUCACCUUAUUUCUUUGUCCACAGUCAAUAAACUUUAGGUUUCUUGUUGCCUUUUGGAUCAAAUAUAAAUUAUUAAAUUUAGCAUUUAAAGGCUUUCACAAUCUUGCUCCAUCCUUUACCUUUUAUGUACUUUGAAUAUGUGUAGGUGUAUAUAUGCAUGUUAGAGAAAAAAACCAUACUAUUUUUUUAAAAUUUGGAGAGAAGAUAAUUAUGGUGACUAAAAUAUGGUCAGGUGAUGAAUUUAAUGUAUAAAGCCUUAAUGUUCUGUUACAUUCAUUUUUCAAUUUGCUGGCAAAAUAUUUAAAGUUUUUUUUGUUUAGGUAAACACCAAUUUCUUAUC
rnacentral:lncRNA from 1 species